rnacentral:precursor_RNA from 15 species
GACACUUCCAGUAUCAUCGGCAUCAUGCAUUAUUUCAGGCAGUAUACUGGUAAAGGGUUUUAUUUGCACCAUUCUUACCUGUUGCUACCUGAAAUUAAUGCAAGAUGUGUGAAUAACCCAACCCCCUCC